CUGUUAGAGGGAAUUAAGGAGGGAGUGACACCUGAAGAUGCUAACAGAAAAAGGGACGCUCAAAUUCCAGAAUAAAAUGGGCCAGCAGCAGAGAGGAAGGUGUACAGAAUGAGCAAAGAAAGAAAAAGGGCUGUGAGCUGGAGCAAGAAUCUCUUGCAGGGCAGUGUCACCUGGUUUUUUUUUUUUUUUUUUCUUGUGUUUAAAAUGCGGAUGGCAGAAAUUUGUACCACUUCCCAAGAGACAGGACAUUAGAGCCCCCACCUCCAUGCAAUAACAACU
rnacentral:misc_RNA from 1 species